rnacentral:SRP_RNA from 1 species
GCGCUAAGCGGGGAGUCAGCGGUGCCCUGAACUUGCAAUCCGCUAUAGCAAGGCUGAAUGCUCUCCGAGGCCCGCCGUAUGGUCGGCUGCGUGAGGUAAGGCGUGAUGAUAACAAGGUCUUAUGCAACAGACCGCCGUGAACCGUGUCAGGAUAGGGAUAUAGCAGCACUAAGCGGUCAAGUCUGUGUGCCAUAGGGGUGCUUUGCAGGAGCGACCUGCCGCAUUUCCGCUUCGGUAUGACGCGUCG